rnacentral:tRNA from 1 species
GUCUCAGUAGCAUAGUGGUAAGUGCACAGCCCCGGAUAGGUUGAGACGAGGGUUCGAUUCCCGCCUGAGAUG